ACGGAGAUAGUUCUAAUGGUAAAACGGAGGACUCCAAAUCCUCUUUUCGGGGUUCAAAUCCUCGUCUCCGUG
rnacentral:tRNA from 1 species